rnacentral:rRNA from 1 species
GACGAACGCUGGCGGCGUGCUUAACACAUGCAAGUCACGGGGGGCUUGGGGGCGACUCUGAGCAACCGGCGAACGGGUGCGUAACACGUGAGCAACCUGCCGAUCUGUGGGGGGAUAGCCGGGCUAACGCCCGGGUAAUACCGCAUACGGUUCCUGCGAGGCGUCUUGCGGGAAAGAAACCUCUGGGGCAGAUCGAGGGGCUCGCGGCCUAUCAGCUGGGUUGGGGGGUAAUGGCCCACCAAGGCGACGACGGGUAGCUGGUCUGAGAGGAUGGCCAGCCACAUUGGGACUGAGAGACGGCCCAGACUCCUACGGGAGGCAGCAGUGGGGAAUCUUGCGCAAUGGCCGC